ACUGUCCAAUCAGCUGUCUUCAAACUGAGACCGUGAUGAAUUCAAUAUGGACGUAAAAUGUACCAGUUAGCCAGCUAGCUAUCCUUUUGCCGAAAUUUUGUUAUUAAACAAGCUUCAGUUUUAUUUCGAUGUUGUGACAGAAACAGCUGUCUCUGCUUCUCACAACUGCUUAGUUUAUUUUCAACCGCAUUGUAUUUGCGUUUUUAAAAAUAUAAUUCAAACAGGGGAAGAUCACUUGGAGAAAAGUGUGAAGAGGCUGGUUUGAUGUGCACUGCACAGAGAGAGGAGGCACCAUGAGUGGGGAGCUGGAUGCGCUGACUGUGGUGAACCAGCUACGAGAUCUUGCAGCUGACCCCCUCAACAGACGAGCCAUAGUACAGGACAAUGGCUGCUUACCGGGGCUCAUCCUCUUUCUGGACCACCCCAACCCUCAGGUUGUCUACUCCGCAUUAUUGGCAGUGCGCUACCUUGCAGAAUGUCGGUCCAACCGAGAGAAGAUGAAGGGAGAGCUGGGCAUGAUGCUGAGUCUGCAGAAUGUCAUGCAGAAGAGCACCUCCCCAGGGGAGACCAAGCUUCUAGCGUCUGAGAUUUAUGAGAUUCUGCAGGCGGCUGGUAAUGACCAGGCAGAGCAGGCCGAGGCUGAAGCCGCCUCCUGCAGACGCAAGGCCCACUUCUUCAUGGGCUCCACCAACAAGCGGGCCAUGACCGUGGUGCUGCACAUCGACGGCCUGGACGACUCAACUCAUAGAAGUCUGUGUGAGGAGGCCCUGCUGAAGAUCCCAGGGGUGAUCAGCUUCACCUUCCAGAUGGCUGUGAAGAGGUGUGUGGUCAGGAUCCGCUCUGACCUCAAGGCUGAGGCGCUGGGCACGGCGAUCAACUCCACCAAGGUGAUGAAGGCUGCACAGGUAGUGAAGGGAGAGGAUGGAGGAGAGCUGAUGCUUCCAUUCCAGGAGGGUGCGGAGGUGGUGGUGGUGGAGCACAACGUGGACGUCCCAGACUACCUCCCUGAGGAGGAAAGCCCGUCUCAGGAGCAGGACAAGGCCGUGACCCGUGUGGGCUCCAUCACAGAUGGCGUGGGCUGGCUCAGCACCGCCGCCAACUUCCUGUCCCGCUCCUUCUACUGGUGACCACUUCCUGUGUCAGUACCCAUCGUCACAACCCGAAACUACCAACUGACGGUCGGUCGCCUUAGCCCACCAGCCCUGCCUAUCCCCUUCCCCGGUCAUCCAGCCCUUCUACUCUCUAGUCCCUCUCAGCAGCCACACAGAGUACCACUCUGCUCAGUGUCUAUAUGGAGCACUGGACUGCCAUGCGCACCCUAAAUAGGGUUGCAAAAUUCCAGGAACAUUCAAUAAACUCCCUGGUUUUCCAGAUAUCCCGGUUGGAGGAUUCCCGGAAUCAGGAGGGAAUAAGCAGGAAAGCUGGUAGCCUCCUACCAGGAUUUCUGGAAUACCAGUUGAACUUCAGAUUGUGAAUAAAUCCAUUACAUUUGAGCAUAUCAAUUACGGAAUCUAUUUGAAGCUGCAGUACAUGGCUGAUAUGGGACAGCAAAGAAAACGUGUACAUUUUCCAUGUGGCACUGAAGCCUGUUACACAACUCCAGGCAUGUUGGCUGCGGCCUCCGUCCGCCUUCUCCUCUCCAACAGCUAGUGGACGUCGUGAUGAGCAAUGGAUCCAUCUGGUGUGUCCUCUCCUCCAACUGGUGUGUCCUCUCCUCCAACUGGUGUGUGAACAUGAAGUAUAGAUGGCAUUUUUACCAGCCCAGAGCCACUGCUACCUGGAAGAUAUGGCAUAUACACUGAGUGUACAAAACAUUAGGAACCUUCCUAGUAUUGAGUUACAGACCCUUUUGCCCUCAGAACAGCUUAAAGUCUUCGGGGCAUGGACUCUACAAGGUACCAAAAGGGAUGGCAUUGGACAUGGGAAACUGACCUCUGACCUCAUUUGAUUGUGUAAACUCAAGGCCCUAACCAGGUCAAAAUAGUAUUUAUACUGAACAAAAAUAUAAAUGCGUCAUGCAACAAUUUCAAAGGUUUUACUGGGUUACAGUUCAUAUCAGUAAAUACAUGAAUUAGGCCUUAAUCUAUGGAUUUCACAUGACUGGGCAGGAGUGCAGACAAUAGUAGGCCUGGGAGGGCAUAGGACCACCCAUUUGGUAGCCAGGCCCAGCCAAUCAGAAUUUGUUUUCCCCAACAAAAUGGCUGUAUUACAGGCAGAAAUAACCUAAUAGUGUACAGUGUAGGUUAAUGUAGUCAAGACAGUGUUUUUCUAUAGGCAAGAGAGCAUCAUGUUUAAAUGAGACUCAUUACCUAUUAUUUUAUAUACACAUUAAAUGUGGUUUUAUGGAUGAAUUCGCAUGUUAAUUUACACAGUUCUAGAAGUCUUAGCCAGCCAGUGUUGAUUGAAUUGUAGUCUCUCUCACCUCCAGACCUCGACGUAAAGUAACACUGUAUGCUGAGGGCCUGUGUAAUUGCGGGUUUGUGGCAGGGCUGUUGAACAGAAGGUCUGCACUCUUCUUUCCCUCUCUCUCCCCCUCUCUCUUUCUUUCCAUCCCUUCCUCUCUCCUGGUCUCUCCCUCCCUCGCUACCUCUCUCCCUCCCCCAUCCAUCUCUCUCUGUUAGUCCUCCCUCACCCCCUUUUCAUAACGGUGACAGAUGGCUUCAGACGAAUCUCUCAUAAUCAUGUCAGGACGGGUCCUUCGAUCCCAAUUCAACACAUUUCAUCAGAGAGAGAAUUACACACAGAUUAAGCCUGCUGCUAGAACAGACAACAAAGACACACAAAGAUGGGCCUGGCAAACAAGUGUUCCUUUAAUCAUGUGACUCCUGUCACACCACCUCACCCUCUUACCACAACAGAAUGAACCCGCUGAAAUUUGACUUCUCCCCAAGUUCCUCUGGGUCCAAAUCACUAAGGACUUAAAAUGGUCCACUCACACGCGCACAGUCAUGAAGGAAGUUUGGUGUGGCCCUCAAAACAUCAAAAAGUUCUACAGCUGCACCAUUGAGACCAUCUUGACUGGCUGCAUCACUCCUCGGUAUGGUAACAGCACUGCCCUCGAUCGCAUACGCUGCCGAGGGGUGUGACAGCCCAGUACAUCACUGGGGCCGAGCUUCCUGCCAUUCAGGACUUCUAUAUCAGGCGGUGUGAAAGGAAGGCCUGGAAAAUUGUUAAGACUCCAGUCAUCCAAGCCAUAGACUGUUUUCUCUGUUUCCACACAGCAAGCGGUACUGGCUCAUGUGGUCUGACACCUACAGGUUCCUGAACAGCUUCUACCCCCAAGCCAUAAUGCUGCUAAAUACCUAACAAACUGGCUAUCUGAGUUGACUCUUGUAUUUAUGUUUUGCACGGUCUCUAUGCACACUCACAGGAAUCUACACACUCACUCGCUCACUCACACUGACACAGCAAAAACACAUAACAUGCACACACAUUUAUGCUGACUCUACACACAAGCACAUACUCACAUACAAUCUUAAUUGAUGCUGUUGCUACUCUAUCAUAUAUCCUGAUGCCUAGUCACCUUACCCCUAUAUAUAUAUAUACAUAUAUAUAUACCCCUACCACUCCAGUAUCCCUGCAUAUUGUAAAUAUGGUAUUGGACCUGACCAAUAUAAAGCUUCUUACUUUCUCCUGUGUUUUUGUUCUAUCUUAUGUUAUUUUCAGUACUACAUUGAUAUUGAUUACUGCAUUGUUGGAUUAGGAGCUUGUAUGAAAGGCAUUUCACUGGACUUGUGCACGUGGCAUUAAAACUUGAACCAAC